rnacentral:rRNA from 1 species
AAUAUUGCACAAUGGGCGAAAGCCUGAUGCAGCGACGCCGCGUGAGGGAUGACGGCCUUCGGGUUGUAAACCUCUUUCAGCAGGGAAGAAGCGAAAGUGACGGUACCUGCAGAAGAAGCACCGGCUAACUACGUGCCAGCAGCCGCGGUAAUACGUAGGGGGCGAGCGUUGUCCGGAAUUACUGGGCGUAAAGGGCACGCAGGCGGUUCGCCAAGUUCGAAGUGACAAUCAACGGCUUAACCGAUGAACGACUUCGAAAACUGGUGGACUUGAGAGCGAGAGAGGGACAUGGAACUCCGGGUGGAGCAGUGAAAUGCGUAGAGAUCCGGAAGAACACCAAGGCGAAGGCAGUGUCCUGGCUCGUUUCUGACGCUGAGGUGCGAAAGCCAGGGGAGCGAAC